UACGUAGGGUGCGAGCGUUGUCCGGAAUUACUGGGCGUAAAGAGCUCGUAGGUGGUUUGUCGCGUUGUUCGUGAAAACUCACAACUCAAUUGUGGGCGUGCGGGCGAUACGGGCAGACUGGAGUACUGCAGGGGAGACUGGAAUUCCUGGUGUAGCGGUGAAAUGCGCAGAUAUCAGGAAGAACACCCGUGGCGAAGGCGGCUCCUCUGGGACGGUACUGACGGCUGAGACGCGAAAGCGUGGGGAGCGAACAGG
rnacentral:rRNA from 1 species